UGCCCCAGCACCAGCAGCAGCUGUACAGCGCCUACGUGCCCCAGACCUAUGGCUACCAGUACUAAGCACCUGCUCCGACUGCGACUGCGAUCAUCGCCCAAGGACCACGAACCGACUGCCGAGAAACAUAAGCUUUGAUGGAUUUGACAAAAAAUAUACCCAAAAAUAUGUACUGGCAAUUAAAUCACUAAAAAAAAGCUA
rnacentral:misc_RNA from 1 species